rnacentral:rRNA from 1 species
GAGUGCUUGCANUCCUGAUGGUUAGCGGCGGACGGGUGAGUANCACGUAGGCAACCUGCCCUCAAGACUGGGAUAACUACCGGAAACGGUAGCUAAUACCGGAUAAUUUAUUUUGCAGCAUUGUGAAAUAAUGAAAGGCGGNNNAAUCUGUCACUUGAGGAUGGGCCUGCGGCGCAUUAGCUAGUUGGUGGGGUAACGGCCCACCAAGGCGACGAUGCGUAGCCGACCUGNNNGGGUGAACGGCCACACUGGGACUGAGACACGGCCCAGACUCCUACGGGAGGCAGCAGUAGGGAAUCUUCCGCAAUGGGCGAAAGCCUGACGGAGCAACGCCGCGUGAGUGAUGAAGGNNUUCGGAUCGUAAAGCUCUGUUGCCAAGGAAGAA